rnacentral:rRNA from 1 species
GACGAACGCUGGCGGCGUGCUUAACACAUGCAAGCCGAACGGAAAGGCCUGCUUUCCCUUGUGGAUUGCGGGUACUCGAGUGGCGAACGGGUGAGUAACACGCGAGUGAUCUGCCCCCAACUUGGGUAUAAGCCUGGGAAACUGGGUCUAAUUCCCGAUAGGACUGCAGGGUGCUGUCUGUGGUGGCAAACGUUUUUCUAGUGGUUGGGGAUGGGCGCGCGGCCUAUCAGCUUGUUGGUGGGGUAAUGUCCUACAACGGCGGCGGCGGGUAGCCGGGCGGGAAGGGUGACCGGCGACAUUGGGACUGGGACACGGCCCAGACUCAGGCGGGAGGCGGCAGUGGGGAAUAAUGCGCAAUAGGCGGAAGGCGGAAGCAGCGGCGCGGCAUGAGGGAUGACGGACUGCGGGUUGUAGACACCAGGCGACCGCGAGGGAGCCACCUGGUUGGAAGGGUGGGAAGGUAAGUGGUAAAAGAAGCACCGGCAAACUACGU